rnacentral:tRNA from 1 species
GGAAUGUGGCUUAGUGGUAGAGUGCUUGCCUAGCAUGCAUGAGGCCCUGGGUUCAACACCCAGCACCA